GGCGAACGCUGGCGGCGUGCCUAAUACAUGCAAGUAGAACGCUGAAGGAGGAGCUUGCUCUUCUGGAUGAGUUGCGAACGGGUGAGUAACGCGUAGGUAACCUGCCUGGUAGCGGGGGAUAACUAUUGGAAACGAUAGCUAAUACCGCAUAAGAGUAGAUGUUGCAUGACAUUUACUUAAAAGGUGCAAUUGCAUCACUACCAGAUGGACCUGCGUUGUAUUAGCUAGUUGGUGGGGUAACGGCUUACCAAGGCGACGAUACAUAGCCGACCUGAGAGGGUGAUCGGCCACACUGGGACUGAGACACGGCCCAGACUCCUACGGGAGGCAGCAGUAGGGAAUCUUCGGCAAUGGACGGAAGUCUGACCGAGCAACGCCGCGUGAGUGAAGAAGGUUUUCGGAUCGUAAAGCUCUGUUGUAAGAGAAGAACGAGUGUGAGAGUGGAAAGUUCACACUGUGACGGUAUCUUACCAGAAAGGGACGGCUAACUACGUG
rnacentral:rRNA from 1 species